rnacentral:rRNA from 1 species
UAUUUUGACUAUACAAAGGUAUUGAAAUAAGAUUUUAAUUGAAUGCUAAGAGAAUGGAUUAACAGAGAAAUUCUUUUUUAAUUUUAAAAAUUUAAGUUAUUUUUGUUUGUGCAGAAACAACAAUAAAAUUUAAAGACAAGAAGACCCUAAGAAUUUUAAAGAAAAAAUAAAAAAAUUUAUUAUUAAUUCUUUUAAUUGGGGCGAUUGAUAAAUAUAAAGAACUUUAUUUUAAAAAAAUUUGAACCAUUAAUAAUGAUAAUAUGAAAAAAAUACUCUAGGGAUAACAGCGUAAUAAUUUUUGAUAGUCCAUAUAGACAAAAUAGUUUGCGACCUCGAUGUUGGAUUAGGAUUCUUAUUUAAUGAAGAAGUUAAAAAAAGAAGUUUGUUCAACUUUUAAAUUCCU